AACCAGCCAAAACAAAGCUACAAAGAACCUUACUUUAUCAACUUCCCGCCAACAAAUCAGCAGAAAUUGACUGCUAUACAUCAAGAACAAAGACAGAAAUGACAAGGAUUGACUUCAAAUCAGUCAGAGAAAUCAACAAGAGAUCUAAACCCCCUCAGAAAAUGACAACAGAACCUCCAGUGAAAAUGAAAAAACCUGCCAAGUGAACAACCAGUCAAGGUUUAUCCAAACUCCAAGCAGAAAUUGCAGGAAGGUGGAAAAUUUGAGAUCUAGCUCAGCGAACCCACCAAGCAAAACAGAUUAGGCGAAGGAAACAAUUAGUGAUAGGCCAACCAACAGACACCCACCUCGGUCUUCUUCUUCUUCUUCCUCCUUCGUAGGUCAGAUCUCUAUCUUUUUCUCUCUCUCUUUCUCUACAGCUUUGUCUGUUCUUCUGUUUUUCUUUCUCUCUGUAGAGCUUUUGUACGUGUAUGAACAGUCAGCCAACAACAACAACUGCUACCCGCGGAGUUGAGCAGCACCCGCUUUAAAUCCACUCAACCAUCAUUCGUCUCUUGGCAGAAAAAGGUCAAGACUUUACCCAACUUAUUACUCUAUUAGCUUUCGUUGCCUUCCUAUUUUGUUUUCUUUUCAAAUAUGUGAAGUUCAAUUCAGAUAAUUUAAUUGCUUUAAAUGAUCAGAUUUGCUGUAUGAAUUUGAUAAAUCAACCAUCCUAACAAAAAUCCUUUUUAAAGUUAACUUGAUGAAAAAAGCUUAAUUUACAAAAAUUUAUAUCUAUAAAAUUGAUUGAAAGAUAGUCAACGAACUUUUUUGAAUGUAACUUAAAGAUAUAAUGUGAAAUAAUCAAAUAAAAAUAAGUGUAGUAGAGAUAAAACGAGGAUAAAGUUUAUACAUUUACUAUAAUAAUUGAAGUUGGUAUUUAUACAAAAC
rnacentral:lncRNA from 1 species